AGAGUUUGAUCCUGGCUCAGAUUGAACGCUGGCGGCAUGCUUUACACAUGCAAGUCGAACGGCAGCACGGGUGCUUGCACCUGGUGGCGAGUGGCGAACGGGUGAGUAAUGCACCGGAACGUACCCAGUAAUGGGGGAUAACACAUCGAAAGAUGUGCUAAUACCGCAUACGCCCUGAGGGGGAAAGCGGGGGAUCGUAAGACCUCGCGUUAUUGGAGCGGCCGAUGCCGGAUUAGCUAGUUGGUGAGGUAAGAGCUCACCAAGGCGACGAUCCGUAGCUGGUCUGAGAGGACGACCAGCCACACUGGGACUGAGACACGGCCCAGACUCCUACGGGAGGCAGCAGUGGGGAAUUUUGGACAAUGGGCGCAAGCCUGAUCCAGCCAUGCCGCGUGAGUGAAGAAGGCCUUCGGGUUGUAAAGCUCUUACGCAAGGAAAGAAAACUUAUCUACUA
rnacentral:rRNA from 1 species